UACGUAGGGGGCUAGCGUUGUCCGGAAUCAUUGGGCGUAAAGCGCGCGUAGGCGGCCCGGUAAGUCCGCUGUAAAAGUCCAGGGCUCAACCCUGGAACGCCGGUGGAUACUGUCGGGCUAGAGUCCGGAAGAGGCGAGUGGAAUUCCUGGUGUAGCGGUGGAAUGCGCAGAUAUCGGGGGGAACAUCAGUGGCGAAAGCGGCACCCUGGCAUUUGCCUGACGCUCAUGUGCGAAAGCGUGGGGAGCGAACGGG
rnacentral:rRNA from 1 species